rnacentral:rRNA from 1 species
CCCGUAGAUGUUCUGGGCUGCACACGUGCUACACUGGCAGGUUCAGCGAGCUUCAUGCCCUGAUCUGAAAGGAAUGGGAAAUCUUUUCAAAACCUGCCGUGCUUGGGAUAGAUGUUUGCAAUUAUUCAUCUUCAACGAGGAUUGCCUUGUAAGCGCACGUCAUCAGCGUGCAUUGAAUACGACCCUGUAUUCUGUACACACCGCCCGUCGCUCCUACCGAUUGAAGUUUUCGGUGAGUUGACAGGAGGAUUUUUUUGAAACUGGUUCGCCAGUGGAUUUUAGAUCCAAAUGCCAACGAAUCGAUGGCUUUAGAGGAAGGAGAAGUCGUAACA